GCCGGGAUAGCUCAGUUGGGAGAGCGUCAGACUGAAGAUCUGAAGGUCCCUGGUUCAAUCCCGGGUUCCGGCA
rnacentral:tRNA from 1 species